GACGUAGGGCGCGAGCGUUGUCCGGAUUUAUUGGGCGUAAAGAGCUCGUAGGCGGCUUGUUACGUCGACUGUGAAAACCCGCGGCUCAACCGUGUGGUCUGCAGUCGAUACGGGCAGGCUAGAAUUCGGUAGGGGAGACUGGAAUUCCUGGUGUAGCGGUGAAAUGCGCAGAUAUCAGGAGGAACACCGGUGGCGAAGGCGGGUCUCUGGGCCGAUAUUGACGCUGAGACGCGAAAGCGUGGGGAGCGAACAGG
rnacentral:rRNA from 1 species